GUUCAGCUCUAGCUACCGGUUCAUCUACCGCCUGAGGACUCUGGGAGACCGAGAUAGACGAACUCCUAGAGCCGCUAGAAGAAGAAGCCCUGGAAGACAUCUAGAAUCACACGGAGACCACCUAUAGAGGCGAAAUCCCUAAAGAUUGGGGAAAAUUGCGGACAAGGUCUUAGGGGACUGAUGUGUAGAGCAAGAGGAAGAAAGAUCGAAUGG
rnacentral:lncRNA from 1 species